GGCGCACGUAGGGGGUGGCGCCCUCCCUUUGGGCAUAGGGGGCGAGGAGGAAGCCCUCCCGGUGGGGGGGGAUGGCCGCCACCGUGCGCCCC
rnacentral:tRNA from 1 species